GGAGAAGGCAGGAUCUGCCUCGUGGGACUCCCUGGGAUCCCACGCCGGCGACCGGGUAAGUAAGAAAAACCGUGAAGGCAUACUAUUACACCCUGCAUUUAGAGUAGAAUAGGGCAUAAUAGUACGCUCUCCGGUUUUAAGGGGUUAACGUCAUUCAGAACUUGAAAGAUAUUUCUUAAUAUCUGGGGGUUUUUUUUAAUUAGAUUUAAUUCAUAUUAAAUUGUUUCAUAUAUAAAUAUUUGAUGUGAAAUGAAGGCCCUGUUUCUCCUGAACUAUACUAUACUAUAUGUAUUAAGGCAAUUUGCCUGCAUUUGUGGGAGGUGCUGGUUUUCCACCCCUAGCCUACUUAAGGCACUCCCCUUGCCUGGCUCCUUACCGUUCGAGGUCAGCGUUGAAUGAGGAUCCACUUCCGGGUUCUCUCAGACGCCAUCUUGGUUUCAGUAUCCAGGAGGUUUCACCACGUUAAGCUGUGUCCAGGAAUCCUGUUCAGGCCUUUCCGCCCGACCAGCUUCUUCUGACUCCGUUUCUCCGUCGUAGAUCGCGUCCCAGGGACUCCUAAACCGUAAGUCAGACCUUCCUGUCACGCCAGGACUGGUUCCCACGGCGUACGGUACAGCACGGGUCCUCGCUUUACGGCUUUUCCCUGGUUAUGACACGAAUGUUUUCAAGCCAUUCGCGGGCUUUUCAUUUCGUACGGUCAUUCGGCUGAACAUGUUUUCAAUCGUUCAAUAGUCAUUUCGCAUAUCCUAUUCAUGUUAUUUAAACGAAUGUUCAUUCGGUUGUUUUGCCGUUCGGCAAAUUUACAUACGCUCACACACACUUUGGUUCGCAUAAAUCAUACGGUUAAACUAUUCUAACUUCUGUGUUCCCCUCACAUUUGCUUUCGGCUGUUCUGUGUGUUCACGUUUUAAUCCUUUCAUGAAUUAUAUUCACCAUUUCAUGUGUAUAUAACAUUCGGUUAAGUAUUGCUUGCUUAAAUAGAUUGUUGAUUACUUUUAACAAUUGUCAGUAUUGUAUUACGUCCACAAACCAAGUCCACUUCUGUGUAUACCAUUUGACUCCCACGCUUUCAGGGGUCUGCAUUACUUAUCCAUUUAUACGUAUGGACUCAGCCAUGUCACAAGCCUCAUUUCUGGGUUAUUAAUACAAUACAUACAAGGAUAGGUUCAUUUAAGCAAUAAUUCUCGGGUUGAUACGUCUUUGCUAUACAUACAUAUCAUAUAGAUCUACAUCACUUUACAUCAUGCUAAAUCAUUUUGGGGUAUCCCUGCCUUUGGUCUUUCUGCUACAUAUCAUACACAACGAUGUGUUAAUUAGGCCAUGACCUCAUUCAUGUCCCUUUCUAUAAAACCAGUUACAUUUCGGUACAGGUCAUUGAACUCCCACGCCAGGAGUUUUAUAACUAUCCAUUUCAUUUCAAUUUACUCAGCCUACAUUACAGGCCUCAUUUCUCUGUCAUGACGAUGACACACAAAGCAUAAGUCCUUUUGCAUGCAUACUCGGGUUGGAUCACACGUCCUGAUCCAACCAAUCAUACGUCCCCUACACAGUCAUAAUACAUAUGUAUAUAACCUACGUUUCAUGUUUUCCUUUACACACCAUUAUCACGUAACACAUAGAUUGUUUGUACAUAGGCCACGGCCUCCCUCAGAUGUCUUAUUCAAGCAUGCAAACAUUUCUGAGCCACUCAUAGCUAUUCCCAUGGUAUCAACAUAAUUUUAUACAUUGCUGCUACAGACUAUAAGUCUGGUUCUUGUUAUACCCCACACUCAUCGUACUACUCUCUUUUACCCAUUUUAGGCUGUCGAGCUUAUAUAGUUGCUCCACACGGUUUAUUCCUGUGAUUUAUCAUACUACCAGGUACGUACACCUGCUCAUAUGGUAUUCUACCAUACAUUUCAUUUCAUCCCCCUAGUUUAGAGUACUGGCAAUAGGGUCACAGGAUUCCCAAUAGGUAUUUACCCCGUCUUGGCUGUCGCCAUCAGUUAGUGGUCCCGCGAGGCCAACACCCCGCCUCAAACGUUUCGGAGGCAAACACCCAUCGGGCCACACGUUAGCUAGCCGCCUCGCAUGUUGCAAAGAGAGGGCCUCACCUGUCACUCCCUUCCCCUGUUUUCUGUCGUACAGUCACCGAGAGGCCUAAAACUCCUGCCACUACGUCAAGUGGCCUCAAUAACCCCUCGCGCCAACGCAUAGAUAGAGCCUCUCAAGCCGCUUGGCAACUAGUAGGGCCUCACCUGUCACCAAACAAGCAUAAUACUUUCGCCAUCCGGCCUAGCUAGCCUGCCAGUACAAUUUGGUGGUUCUAUAUACUAAUUAUUGUUUUAUUUAUAGUAUGUCUCAGGAAGGGGUAGAGGAUUUCUCCCUGCCUAGCACCCCGGCUAGAGCUGUCACUCCCACACAAGGAGGAGAGCUAGCUAGUCCAGCAUCAAUUAGAUCCUGGACAAUCCCGCGCAUAACCACGGAAUUAAGGAGACGACAAAUCCCCUACCCUGCUACAGCAAGGAAGGCAGAACUUUUCAAACUGCUACGCACAUCAACCAAUAACAUGGAAGCCGGGGAAGGAUCUAGCCAGUCCAACCCAGGGGACAUACAUGCCAUGUUAUCCUCACUCAUGGCAUCCAUGGGCAAGGUCAACUCCAGGCUGGAGAAACUUGAGUCGGUCACCACGGCCCUCACUCUAGCAGGGCCAACCGCGGCUGCAGUACAAACACCAGCCUUGCCAUUAGUCGCUCCAGCCAGCCCCCUGGAUGACCAGGAAGUUAGCCCGGCCCACAUGAUACCUGAGCAUAUCAAAAGGGAUAUCCUGGAAGGUAAAGACGUCAACCUGGCUUCCCUGUUGAUUGCCUCCCAGGACAUUGUGGAACAUAAAACGUAUGCUUAUGAUGAUGUUUCUGUUAUUGUCAGAUCUAGGGAUGCCCGCCUAAACAGAAAACUGACUAUCCCUGAAUUUGUUCUAGCAUUUGGUAUUUACAGGGAUGUCGUCUGUGCGGUCUAUCCCAACAGAAGAGAGGAGUUCGAUCUCUAUAUGCACAAGCUGGUAGACCUGGGCAACAAAUAUGGUGGUUCAGCAUUCUAUGACUACCAUAGGUCUUUUUCUGCAAAAGUGGCUGGAGCCUUCUCCCAGUACGGUACACGGUCCAACUGGGGAAGGAUUGAUACCGUCUUAUUCUGCAGACACUUUGCAGGUCUAAGAACACCAGCUUGUGCAUACUGCUCCUCCACAGCCCAUACUACUAAUUUUUGUCCAAACACGGCAGACGGACAUGCCUCCACACAAGGAACUACUUCCUCUGGGGAUCCAGGGAAACUAUCCACAGACAAAUUGGGACGCCCAAUCAAGUUUCUGGGCAAGUCCCAGAUAUGUAAUAAUUUCAAUGUUGGGUCUUGUAAUUACAGUGGAUGUAGACUAUUGCAUGUCUGUUCAAAAUGUUUUAGGGCACAUGCUAAGACCAUGUGUCCAAAUAAAAUGUAUUCUAAGCCUUACCUUACGUCCAUUAAUAUGCCAGUAUUCACAGCAUUGAUGUCUCAGCACCCAUCUAGACACCUGGUAGAUUUUCUUAUUUCUGGUUUGACAGAAGGCUUCCACACAGGUAUCCUACACAUACCAGCUGGCACUCUGGAAUGCCCAAACCUACAAUCCGCCCAACACAACCCCACAGUGGUUGACACCCUCAUAAACCAAGAAGUGGAGGAGGGCUUUGUAUUGGGGCCUUUUAGAACUCCCCCAUUCACAGAAUGGCGCACCAACCCUAUUGGUAUUGUCACAGGGAAAUCUUCCCAAAAACAGAGACUCAUCAUUGACUUAUCGGCUCCCCACUCAUCGGCCAACCCCAGUCUUAAUUCCCUCAUACCCUCUGAGGAAUUCUCUCUGCAAUACACCACCAUAGAUCACGCCAUUACAGCCAUCAUACAAGCAGGGGUGGGAGCCUGGCUCAGUAAGACCGACAUUACUAACGCCUUCAAAUUACUCCCUAUCCACCCCACACUGUGGCACCUGCAUGGCAUCAAGUGGUCCGAGAACUACUAUUUUUUCUCCCGGUUAACUUUUGGGUCCAAAAGUAGCCCAGCUAUUUUCGACACAUUUGCCGAAGCACUAUGCUGGUUACUAUUGAACAUAGCCGGAUGCCCUACAGUAUUACAUUAUUUGGACGAUUUCCUACUGGUCGAGGAGAAUACUGCACCUCCCACUAGCCUCAAAGCUACCACUAAGCUGUUUGAGCAACUAGGUGUACCCAUCUCCCCAAAGAAAACAGAAGGGCCAGACACGGUUAUCACUUUUCUGGGUAUCCAGUUAGACUCUGCCACAAUGCAAGCAAGCCUACCUUACGAAAAGAUAGACAAUAUUCUCACUUACAUUAACAACUACCUACAGCUCGGCACUUGCAAUCGCAAAGAACUACAGUCCCUGCUGGGGUCACAAAAUUUUGCAAUGCGCAUCAUACCUCAAGGCCGCUCCUUUAUUUCACGACUAUUGCAUCUUUUCCCACUUUUUCUACAUGACACGCACAGGUUGUCCUUAGAUGCCCAAGCUACGGCAGAUCUAAACAUGUGGAAGAGGUUUUUAACCACUUGGAAUGGUAAAGUAUGUUCCUCCCUCAAUUGACUGAAUCAUCUCCUACCAUUUGGUCAGAUGCGGCAUCUACCACUGGUUUUGCAGCAAUUUUUGGGAACGAAUGGCUUUGGGGCAGCUGGCCUUCAGCAGUUCUGGAUUUGGAAGGUUUUCCACUACCUCAGCUCUUUUUGAGAUCUACCCCAUAGUGGCGGCUGCCGUAGCGUGGGGUCAUUUAUGGGCUAAUACGCCAGUGCGUUGUUACUCAGACAACCAGGCGACCUGUCACAUCAUCAACAAAGGUCGUUCCAAAUCUCUUACGAUUAUGAGAUUUCUGAGGAAACUCACUUGGUUGGCAGCUUGUCAUAAUUUCUUCCUAUGUUGUUUUCAUGUGCCAGGUGUAUACAACACAGCUGCUGACAGUUUGUCUCGCUUUAAAUUUCAGGAGUUUCAUCAAGCACUCCCGUCAGCAGCACCCACAGCCACCAUCACUCCAACAUUUCAACAACUCAUACUGGACUAGACGUCAUCAUGCAGCAUAGCAGGACAUUGUCUCAGUUGGCACUUUCACACAAUACAAACAAAACAUACAACAGGGCUUUCACACUAUUCAAACGAUUCCUUCUGGAACAUAACAUCAUACAACCGUUUGUUAUGACAUCUUUUUUGGGGUUUGCUUCCUUUUGCCACCUUAAACUCAAAUUGUCAUAUAACACCAUCAAACUCUAUCUCACUGGCAUUCAACACCACAUGCUCAUCUUACACCCAAAUAACAACAGUUUCAUGGCCUCUCACCAAAUUAAGACCAUACUCAGAGGUAUUCAAAAAUCAGAACCCACACAUUUGGCCCAGAGGCUACCCAUAGAUAACCAUAUCUUCAAAGCUUUAUCUAACCUACUCGACCUGAAACCAUUUGACACUAAUACGAAUUCUAUCAUCAAAACAGCAAUAUACAUCGCUUUCUAUGGAUUUCUACGACCCAGAGAAUUCACUACGACCUCCACGACCCAAACCACUCCAUUCCUCCUCUAUUCCCACUUGACAAAACAUAUGGAUCAUUACAUCCUGUCUUUACCUCACUCCAAAACCAGCCAGCACAUACCUGUAAACAUUCCGUACUACCCCACGCACAACAGAUGGUGUCCCGUAAAAGUUCUUGAUGCCUACAUACAGCACCAUCACUUACUGCCCUCGCAACCGUUAUUACAACUACAAGGUGCAGUACUCACCACUACAACCUUCAUGACCUACGUCAGGUCCUUGCUCACACAACUGGGCCUCAACGCAAACAAUUACUCAGGACACUCCUUUCGUAUAGGAGCCGCGUCCACAGCCUCCAGUUUCAACGUCCCAACUCAUGUUAUCAAAACACUGGGGCGCUGGAAGUCAUCCGCUUACUCACGGUACAUACCGAACCCAGUACAAGAGUUAAGAGAUGCUUUCAUAAACAUGUCUGGUUGAUAAAUGUAUAUGUAUUGGUUGUCUGUUAAUAAAUUGGAUUACUUAAUUUUUGCCCUCUUCUUUCUCAGGCCUACCUCAUCGUCGGUUUCGGCACACCACAACCGACUUGCUCCUUUUAUCAUCCUACGCUUAUUCAUGGUAUUUCACACUGUACUAUCUUAAGCACCUAACACAAGUAUUAAGGCAAUUUGCCUGCAUUUGUGGGAGGUGCUGGUUUUCCACCCCUAGCCUACUUAAGGCACUCCCCUUGCCUGGCUCCUUACCGUUCGAGGUCAGCGUUGAAUGACCCUCCCACCACACCACUUUUAACAUUUAUUUUCCUUUCUAUUUCUUUUCCUGGGUGGGCCCUCUUCUUUCUCAGGCCUACCUCAUCGUCGGUUUCGGCACACCACAACCGACUUGCUCCUUUUAUCAUCCUACGCUUAUUCAUGGUAUUUCACACUGUACUAUCUUAAGCACCUAACACAAAUAUAUAUAUAUAUAUAUAUAUAUAUAUAUAAUAUAAAGUGUGGGUGCACAUUGUUUUGAUCACAACGUGUACAGCUGCCUCCGUCCUUAAGUGGUUAAGCUACACUAGAUCAGAUUAUUUGGUAUGUUGAAAUAAGCAACAUACUUACAUUUCCUGUUUAGACUUUGAGCAGAGAGUGCCACGUUGCCACCAUCUGCUGGCUGUUUUCAGCAUUAUAUACAUCUUACUAUAAUGCUGAAACUCAGCAUGCAGUCAUACUGUGUGAUCAGUAUUGGGAAGCUGGCAAAACUCGGUACCAGACACAUUCGGCAUGUGGCCUUGAUGAGACCUGGUUGUGGUGUACGGGGGGUGGGGGUCUCUUUUGAUCUGCUCAGUCACGGUGUUCUCCAUGAAUUUAAAGUGCUGUAUACAGCCCUGCCUAUCUGACAGAGGCAAGUCCCCGAUAUCAAUUAAUACCUGGGUGUCCCCGGAGUGAAUAAGGAAUUAACCCUGUUCGCACUGCGUUGGCGGAAUAGGCAAUGGUUGUAGCAGUGCUCACGUUGAACUCUGCAUUCAACACAUCUGUUAGUCUGCUGCCACUAAAAAUUACCCCACUGAAACAGGGGAGCACCAGGUACCUAGGCUCUAGGGAGUUAAAGAUCAGUAUAGUUGGGUUGCACAGACAGGUCGUUACGUGGAUAAUAACUGCUACUGACUCUUGUUAAUAGCGACUGCUUACAUCAGCCAUUUUGUGGCAAUAUUGGAAACAAGCUCUAAAUGUAAAAACAAAAUUAAAAAAAAUCCACAAUGCAUUAACAAUUUGUUGCUUGAUAUAUGUAAUAAUAUUGUUCUACAGCUUAUGCAUAAUAAAUGUAAGCAGCAAAGCUGAUAUUGGCAUGUCAUAGGGUGCAGAUAGUAUCUCCCUUAAUUGUGUUCAUUUUACCAACAUAAGAAAAAUGUCAGAUUGAUUUAUCUCUACUAGGAAUGAAUCCUGCAGCUGUGGUAUCUAAUUAUUUUAUCCACUGAGAUCUCCAAGUCUUUGUGUAAUGUGCUGUAUAAAAUAAAUCGGUCAUAUGCGCAAUGUUACUCAAACAGAAUACAGAUGAUUAUUUGUUUUGCAUUGUAUUACUGAAGAGUUCCAUUUAGUUUUCAGACUUGUUAGGACAUAGAGUAUAUUAUUAUUAUUAUUAUUAUUAUUAUGAUAUUUAUAGAGCGCCGUCAAAUUCCGCAGUACUUUACAAUGGGUGGACGAACAAACAUGUAGUUGUAACCAGACAAGUUGGACACACAGGAACAGAGGGGUUGAGGGCCCUGCUCGAUGAGCUUACAUGCUCUAGAGGGUUGGGGUAAAAUGACACAAAAAGGUAAGGAUAGUAUUAGACUAGUGACAGUUGCAGACGAGGAAUCAGUCAGGAGCUAUUAACAGUUUAAUUGAUACGCUUUUAUGAAGAAGUGGGUUUUUAACGAUUUUUUGAAGGAGUUGAGACUGGGUGAGCAUCUAACGGAAGAGGGAAGCAAGUUCCACAGGAACGGUGCAGCCCUCGAGAAAUCUUGAAGGCGAGCAUCAGAGGUGGGAGUACGGACAGACGAUAGGGAGGAAAGACCAGAAUUUCGGUUUUGGUCAAGUUUAGUUUAAGGAAGUGGGCAGCCAUCCAGUCAGAAACAGUAGAGAGGCAGUCAGAGACACUCGUCAAGAGGGAUGGGGAGAGAUCAGGAGAGGACAGGUAGAUUUGCGUGUCAUCUGCAUUGAAAUUAUAUUGGAAGCCAAAGGAGUAUAUAAAGAGUUAAAAUUUAAACUCAAGCUUAAUGUAACACUCAAUCCGUUUAGCAUUUUCCCAUACUGAACAAACAAAUUGAGAACUCAUGGGCAAAUGUUUUCUUUGGGUACCUGGACAUCAGAUUAUCAAAAGUUUGAAGGGAGAGUAUUUGUAGAAUGUAAAGAAAAGGAGGGUCAAGCUGGUGGGUAACAUUUCCCUUAUAUGAUGUGGCCACCCCAUGCCUUAUUUUGUUUAAUUCUCUUAAUAUCCUAGAGCUCCGUGGCAAAUAACACAAACCAUAUCUAGUGCAAGCAAUUACCUCCAUUUUCACUAAGAACUAGGUAACCGUUACCAUAAACAAUGAGUAAAGGCUAUACGUCGAUUUUGGAUGUCAAUCUGGAAUGAUGUCAGUCAAUGUGAAUUAAAGUUGAGCAAUGCUAUCAUAGAGCAAAGAGUAUAGAUACUAAAAUCUAUUUACUGGGAUAGAACUCUGGACUGUGUGUUAGAAUCACUGUGAGCAAAUCACAAGCAAGUUAGUAAUAUUAUACAGUAAUAACUGUGUGAUCUUUUCCCUGUGUUUAUUUAUAUGUAUAUUUAUGUUUGCAGGCUAAUGGGAAUGGGACUCCACAUUCAAUGUCUCCUCCUGAUGAGACAGGCCAUCAAACAGGCUACACAGAGGUACCGCAAACUGACACAACUCAAAACGGAUAAGCUUUGUCAGGGCUGCACUCACCGGGCACCCGUAUCAACCUUGUUCUUUACCUGAAUAGUCCUGGAGUCAUGCACAUCUUCAGAUACAAGUAUUUUUAUG